UACAGAGGGGGCAAGCGUUGUUCGGAAUUACUGGGCGUAAAGGGCGCGUAGGCGGCCCGCUAAGUCGAACGUGAAAUCCCCGGGCUCAACCCGGGAACUGCGUCCGAUACUGGUGGGCUUGAAUCCGGGAGAGGGAUGCGGAAUUCCAGGUGUAGCGGUGAAAUGCGUAGAUAUCAGGAGGAACACCGGUGGCGAAGGCGGUUCUCUGGGCAUUACCUGACGCUGAGGAGCGAAAGCGUGGGGAGCGAACAGG
rnacentral:rRNA from 1 species